AAGUCGAGCGGUAGAGAGGUGCUUGCACCUCUUGAGAGCGGCGGACGGGUGAGUAAUACCUAGGAAUCUGCCUGGUAGUGGGGGAUAACGUUCGGAAACGGACGCUAAUACCGCAUACGUCCUACGGGAGAAAGCAGGGGACCUUCGGGCCUUGCGCUAUCAGAUGAGCCUAGGUCGGAUUAGCUAGUUGGUGAGGUAAUGGCUCACCAAGGCUACGAUCCGUAACUGGUCUGAGAGGAUGAUCAGUCACACUGGAACUGAGACACGGUCCAGACUCCUACGGGAGGCAGCAGUGGGGAAUAUUGGACAAUGGGCGAAAGCCUGAUCCAGCCAUGCCGCGUGUGUGAAGAAGGUCUUCGGAUUGUAAAGCACUUUAAGUUGGGAGGAAGGGCAUUAACCUAAUACGUUAGUGCUUUGACGUUACCGACAGAAUAAGCACCGGCUAACUCUGUGCCAGCAGCCGCGGUAAUACAGAGGGUGCAAGCGUUAAUCGGAAUUACUGGGCGUAAAGCGCGCGUAGGUGGUUUGUUAAGUUGAAUGUGAAAUCCCCGGGCUCAACCUGGGAACUGCAUCCAAAACUGGCAAGCUAGAGUAUGGUAGA
rnacentral:rRNA from 2 species